GACGUAGGGCGCGGAGCGUUGUCCGGAUUUAUUGGGCGUAAAGAGCUCGUAGGCGGCUUGUCGCGUCGACUGUGAAAACCCGCGGCUCCAACUGCGGGCUUGCAGCCGAUACGGGCAGGCUAGAGUUCGGUAGGGGAGACUGGAAUUCCUGGGUGUAGCGGUGUAAAAUGCGCAGGAUAAUCAGGAGGAACACCGGUGGCGAAAGGCGGGUCUCUGGGCCGAUGACUGACGCUGGAGGAGCGAAAGCGUGGGGAGCGAACAGGA
rnacentral:rRNA from 1 species